rnacentral:rRNA from 1 species
AUGACCUCGACCAUGGUCUCCCUUGCCUCGCACCAUCAGCGGCUCGCUUGGGUGGAGAAGGAAAGAAAGGGAGGGCUCGAGGAGCAAGAGCUUGCAACAAUGGCGGUUCCAAUAGGGGAGGGAGAAGCAGUAGCGGGAUCUGCGAGAGGAACAGAGGAAGUGGGGAAAUGUCUCUCCCCCUCUUUAUAUCCCACCGGGAAACCCAAGCAACGGCUUCGGUAG